rnacentral:rRNA from 1 species
CCAAGGAGUCUAACAUGUAUGCGAGUCAUUGGGAAUGAAAACCCAAAGGCAUAAUGAAAGUAAAGAAUUCGAUUGCGAAUUUGAGGAGAGAUCAUGGCUUUUAUUGGUAUUCCGCAAGGUUUAUCGGUAAGGGUGUGCGCAUCUCCUGGACGUCUAUACCUCUGAAGGUUGGGCGUACCAAGAGCAUACACGUUGGGACCCGAAAGAUGGUGAACUAUGCCUGGUCAGAACGAAGUCAGGGGAAACUCUGAUGGAGGUUCGUAGCGAUUCUGACGUGCAAAUCGAUCGUCGGAACUGGGUAUAGGGGCGAAAGACUAAUCGAACCAUCUAGUAGCUGGUUCCCUCCGAAGUUUCCCUCAGGAUAGCUGGCGCUUGAUUAAAUCAGUCUCAUCCGGUAAAGCGAAUGAUUAGAGGCCUUGGGGCCGAAACGACCUCAACCUAUUCUCAAACUUUAAAUGGGUGAGAAGUCAGGCUUGCUUAAUCGAAGCUCUGACAAUGGAUGGUGAGUGCCAAGUGGGCCACUCUUGGUAAGCAGGACUGGCGCUGUGGGAUGAACCAAACGUUGGGUUAAGGCGCCCGAAUCGACGCUCAUCAGAUCCCAUAAAAGGCGUUGGUUGCUUAAGACAGCAGGACGGUGGCCAUGGAAGUCGGAA